rnacentral:rRNA from 1 species
AUGAGUGAUAAAAAGGUUUUACAACAAUUUUUAGGAAUUGUAAACUAUGCGCGAAACUAUAUAGACAACUUAGCAAAAUUAGCAGGACCAUUAUAUGCUAAAUUAAGGAAAAAUGGUCAAAAAUACUUCAAUUCUGAAGAUAUAAAAUUAGUAAAGGCCAUCAAGAAAAAGGUCAAGAAUUUAAAACCCCUAGAAUUGCCCCUAGAAGAUAAUUAUUUAAUAAUUGAGACACAUGCAUCUAAUGUAGGAUGGGGUGCGAUACUAAAACAAAAACCCAAUAAAUACUCCCCAAAAGCAGAUGAAAAAAUAUGCAGAUAUGCUUCGGGAAGUUACAAAUUAAAGACGGUAAAUAAUAUUGAUAGGGAAAUCCUUGCAGUUGUAAAUGCAAUAAAUGCAUUUAGGCUAUAUCUAGGAUUUAAAGAAUUUACAGUGCGAACAGACUAUGAAGCUAUAUGUCGAUAUUACAAUAAAAUUAAUAGUAAGAAAAGCUCAACCAGAAGAUGGGUCUUAUUUGAAGACACCAUAGCUGGGAAUGGUUAUAAAGUUAUUUUUGAGCAUAUUAAGGGGAAGGAUAAUACCUUACCUGACAUAUUUUCUCGUGCAUCAAAUUUGUAG